rnacentral:rRNA from 1 species
CAGUAGCCGCGGUAAAACCAGCAGCCCAAGUGGUGGUCGCGAUUAUUGGGCCUAAAGCGCUCGUAGCCGGGCCGGUAAGUCCCUUGUGAAAUCGGACGGCCUAACCGUUCGGCGUGCAAGGGAUACUGUCGGUCUUGAGGCCGGGAGACGUCCGAGGUACUCCGGGGGUAGCGGUGAAAUGUUCUGAUCCUCGGGGGACCACCGGUGGCGAAGGCGUUCGACGAGAACGGGCCUGACGGUGAGGGGCGAAGGCUAGGGGAGCAAACGGGAUUAGAUACCCCGGUAGUCCCUGUCUCUUAUA